GUUCGAUAGCGUAAAAGCUAACUCAAAUUUGUAUAGAGUUGGAACGUUUGCCUACGUUUGCCGCUAGGGGUACUGUUCUAACUGCAUACAAAGUUAACUUUUACGCUAUCGA
rnacentral:pre_miRNA from 9 species